rnacentral:lncRNA from 1 species
AUGACAGUUAGGCGAGUGACCUCUGGUAUGUUGGGACACGUUUGGGGUCCAGAGCUUAUGGGAAGAUGCAUGCUCCCCACCAGGCGGCGCAGCGCAGCUCCGUGGGUUUCGCUGGCUCCUGGCCCAAGGAGUCCCCGCUUCGACCGAACUCUCAUCCUCCUGCAGCAGCUGUCGGUGAUGCUCCCACUUCAUCUUCAGGAUCUUGUCAGGAGAGGAGCUGCCGCCCUUAGGCUCAUAAGCAAAGGAUGGACGUGUGGAACCGCUCCAGCCUCUAGGUCAGGAGAAACAAGCAGACUCCCCACCGAACCCAAUAGGCCGAAGGCCCGCAACGCCUUCAGUUAAGACGGGCUCAUUCACCCCAAGACUUCGAGCGCGGAGCCGCCGCUGACUGCAAAGAGGUCGGGUGGUGAUGGAGCCUAGUUCCGGCCCGCGAAAGCAAGCCCCUUUCUACGUGCGGACCACCAGCCCCACGACCGCCCGGGCCAUCCACCGCAGCCGCCCGCACUUGAUCCGAAACAAGUACCGCCGGAGUUGCGCGCGGCCGCCAUCCGCAGAGCGCGCGCCAUCC